rnacentral:misc_RNA from 1 species
GAUGAAGAACGUAGCGAAAUGCGAUAAGUAGUGUGAAUUGCAGAAUUCAGUGAAUCAUUGAAUCUUUGAACGCACAUUGCGCCCCUUGGUAUUCCAUGGGGCAUGCCUGUUCGAGCGUCAUUUGUACCUUCAAGCUCUGCUUGGUGUUGGGUGUUUGUCUCGCCUCUGCGUGUAGACUCGCCUCAAAACAAUUGGCAGCCGGCGUAUUGAUUUCGGAGCGCAGUACAUCUCGCGCUUUGCACUCAUAACGACGACGUCCAAAAGUACAUUUUUACACUCUUGACCUCGGAUCAGGUAGGGAUACCCGCUGAACUUAAGCAUAUCAAUAAGCGGAGGA